AUUGAACGCUGGCGGCAUGCUUUACACAUGCAAGUCGAACGGUAACAGGCCGCAAGGUGCUGACGAGUGGCGAACGGGUGAGUAAUGCAUCGGAACGUGCCCAGUCGUGGGGGAUAACGCAGCGAAAGCUGCGCUAAUACCGCAUACGAUCUAUGGAUGAAAGCGGGGGACCGUAAGGCCUCGCGCGAUUGGAGCGGCCGAUGUCAGAUUAGGUAGUUGGUGGGGUAAAGGCUCACCAAGCCAACGAUCUGUAGCUGGUCUGAGAGGACGACCAGCCACACUGGGACUGAGACACGGCCCAGACUCCUACGGGAGGCAGCAGUGGGAAUUUUGGACAAUGGCGCAAGCCUGAUCCAGCAAUGCCGCGUGCAGGAAGAAGGCCUCGG
rnacentral:rRNA from 1 species